rnacentral:tRNA from 1 species
AAAAGAAUAGACUAAGUUAAGUUAUUAGAUUCAUAAUCUAAAGAUAAAUUUUUUUUUUCUUUUAG